CGGACGGCUCAGUAACACGUGGCUAACCUACCCUCGGGUGGGGGAUAACCUCGGGAAACUGAGGAUAAUACCCCAUAGGAGAAGAGGUCUGGAAUGAUCCUUCUCUGAAAACAUAUGUGCCCGAGGAUGGGGCUGCGUCUGAUUAGGUAGUUGGUGGGGUAACGGCCCACCAAGCCUACGAUCAGUACGGGCCUUGAGAGAGGCAGCCCGGAGAUGGGGACUGAGACACGGCCCCAGGCCCUACGGGGCGCAGCAGGCGCGAAACCUCCGCAAUGCACGAAAGUGCGACGGGGGGACCCCAAGUGCUUACGCACUGCGUAGGCUUUUCUAAAGUGUAAAAAGCUUUAGGAAUAAGGGCUGGGCAAGUCCGGUGCCAGCAGCCGCGGUAACACCGGCGGCCCGAGUGGUGACCACUUUUAUUGGGCCUAAAGCGUCCGUAGCCGGUCCAGUAAGUCCCUGUUUAAAUCCUACGGCUUAACCGUAGGGCUGGCAGGGAUACUGCUGGACUUGGGACCGGGAGAGGGCGAGGGUACUUCAGGGGUAGCGGUGAAAUGUGUUGAUCCCUGGAGGACCACCUAUGGCGAAGGCACUCACCUGGAA
rnacentral:rRNA from 1 species